ensembl:lncRNA
GUUUUAUUUUCUAUUUAUUUAUUUCAUUUUUUUAAAGGCAGAAAUGGAGGGUGAUGGCGUCUUGUGUGUCAUCGAGCGCACACAGUGGGACGGGAUGAUGUAGGGAUAUAACAUUCAGACCGGAAUAUAAUAAAUGAAGGCGAGAGUGAGGGACGGAAAAAGAAAAGGAGACGGAGAUUUACACAAUAGAGAAAUGAGCAGAACAAUAGACACGCUCAUCUGCGCACUGCUUUCAUUUUAAAGCGGAUUUUUCCCCUGAUUUUUUUGUUGUUGUUGUUGACGAAUCCGAAUUGAAUACCUUGUUGGGAAGGAGUGUUUUUUUCUCCCAAGGGUGUUAAAUUAAGGCUGGGCUCGAGGAGAGAGAGAGAGAGAGAGAGAGAGAGAGAGAGAUUCACAGAUGAUUAUUUAAAGAGAAUAGUUGUUUUUCAUCUUUGCAGUUAUUAUUUACACCCAGUGCAAAACCUGCACACACUCCAGCUGCACGCGCCUGCUCAGUUUUAUUUAUUUAUUAUUAUUAAUAAUAAUAAUAUUAUUCAUUUUAAUAGUGAGUGUGUGUGUGUGUGCAGGAACACAUGUAAAGCGAGCGAGUGAGAGGGGACGAGAAAAGGGAAGGCUAGAAAAAAAGGAGAAAGAAACAAGGAAGCAAUCCCUCUAUUCCUCUCUCCAUCUGAGCGCCUGUGCCCUUUUUGGUGCAGAUAUUAUUAUUAUUAUUAUUAAUAACAAUAUUAUUAAUCAUUUCUGCAAGUGAAUUUAAUAAUUUCUAAUGCGCGCGCCGGGAGUAUGCGACUCGGCGCUAAUCACAGGUGCAGUGAUGCUCAGCCAAUAGGAGCGCUCAGGGGGCGGGGCUUCAGAGAUUGAGAGAUGUAGGAGAAACUCCUCAUGAUGUUCACUUCACAUCCAGAGCGCUAGUCGUCUGUCAGUGUGCAGAGUGUCAUGCUGUCGUCUGACAUCUGACUCCGCCCAUAAACAUAACCACACCUACAUCCAAUCAGCAGCAGGUAUUACAGUUUAACCCUGUGCUCAUGCUAGCUAGUGACACUUCAGUGGUUAACGUGUCGUACAGGAGAAACGAGGUGAACUCCCAUGCCCAGUCUAUAGAUAAUGUCCAAAAGUAAGUGCCCCCUCCCCUGCUGCUCUGCUCAUAGACUCCGUGCUGAUUGGUCAGACGUGUAACAGGAAGUAUGUGAAGAGUGUGUGUGUGUGUGUGUACAUACCUACUGUUAUGAUUUAUCACAGCUCUUUACACUGGGCUCAGACUGAGGCUGUGUGCGUAUGUGCAGAAUUUUAUCCAACGAGACGAAUCUGUGUGUGUUCUAACAGUCCUGUCAUUAUGGACAAAAAUUUAAAUACAGCUUGGUUGAAUUAUAAUAAGUAAUAAUUCACUGAACAAAAUGAUAAGGUUUAG